rnacentral:lncRNA from 1 species
UUCAUGGAAUGGAAAAAAUACCAGAAGAUGGACCAGCACUUAUAAUUUUUUAUCAUGGAGCUAUUCCUAUAGAUUUUUACUAUUUCAUGGCUAAAAUAUUUAUACACAAAGGCAGAACUUGCCGAGUAGUAGCUGAUCACUUUGUCUUUAAAAUUCCAGGGUUUAGUUUAUUACUGGAUGUGUUUUGUGCUCUACAUGGACCAAGAGAAAAAUGUGUUGAAAUUCUGAGGAGUGGCCACUUGUUAGCUAUCUCACCAGGUGGAGUUCGAGAAGCCCUAAUUAGUGAUGAAACUUAUAACAUCGUAUGGGGUCAUCGCAGAGGCUUUGCUCAGGUUGCAAUUGAUGCAAAAGUGGUGAGUUAUAUAAAAUUAAUUAUUGAAGUAAAGCUUAGUCAAAUUUAAAAUAAAUGGUUAAGUAAUGAGCCAAAUUG